GUCCUGCUUCGGCAUUUCGCUGCUUCCGGAACAAUCCGAUGCUUUUGAAGCAGAAGGGUGGAGUCCUGAGAGGAAUGAAGAAGGGAUGUAGAGAGAGAUCACUCAGGUAAAUACAAUGCCUGACCACUCCAAAGAAACAGAGGGGAUUGAGAGAGAAGAGAAACGAGAUUGGUGGGUCAGGCCGCAGGUAUUGUACCGUCUGUUUGCUCACCCAGCAGGCAGGCAGAUGCACGGCUCUGUUCACUGACACCUGAGCAGUUGAUUAGAUGUAGCGGACAGAACUGCUGCUGCCGGAGACAAUGAUGGGAGCAGAACAUGUGCUGCUGGAAAAAAAGGUUGCAUGGCUUUUCAUAACCCAGAGAAUGAAUACCAUGCGUUUUCCCGUGAAGAUGAGGCUGGCAAUAGAAUGUGAAUGAAUAAAAAUAGGAGGCACUCUGUUGUGACAAUGAACCAAUCAGGACCAAUCAGCAUUUUAUUGCUCAAUAUAUGUUGUUAGAUCCUAAAAUGAUUUGCUGUGGAUACUUAACGAGUUCUCAUUUAUGUGUAAUUUAAAUAUUAACGUCUCAGAUGGUUCUCCUAAAAAUCAAAACCACAUUCAGACAUUCAGAAAAGCUUUAGAGUUUUAGAGACAUCUCAACUGGUUCAUUCAUAUUGAGAUAGAUAUUGGAAACAUUUUACAAUAAGGUCCCAUUAGUUAACGUUAGUUAACUACCAGUGUGCAAUACACUGAAAAAAAAAAAAAAUUUCACCAAAAUAUUGCUAACAAUGGCAUUUCGCUGCAAAAAAAAAAAAAAAUUGGUGCUUGGCUGCACAAGUCAUUUCAACUUAAAUUGUGUUAAACUGACUUUAAAAAUCAAGUUGAUGUUUGCAUAACUUAGAAAAUUAAAAUGAAAUUGGUUAAACUAAGUUUAUGAAUUUAAAAUAAUGGGAAAACAUAUGUUGCCAUGACUUAUUGAUCAUAUAAUUAAUUAACACAUUGAAUUAAACGUAAAAUGUUGAAGUAAAAAAAAUCUGUAAUCUUGUCAAAUGUAAUCCAGUAAUCUUUGUUUUAAUAAGAACUUUCAAAAAUCUAGUGUUUCUUUCAUUGUUAGUUCAUGUUUGCUCAUAUCCAUUAAAUAAAAUUAACAGAUACAACUUUUGAUUUUAAUAAUGUAUUAGUAAUUGUUGGUGUUAACUUUAAUUGGGAAUAAUAAAUUUUCAUUGUUAGUUUAUGUAAUGCAGUUAACCAAUGGAAUCUUAUUGUGAAGUGUUACUGAGAUAUUUUAUGCAAAUCAUCAUUGAGAUAUACCUGAGAUUACAUAGAGGAGAAAACUCUUAGAAGCAUGAGACUUCUCCAUUUAAUCACCAUUUAAUAAAAUAACAAUUAAGGCAUUAAACUGAUCUUUCUUUCAUAUAUGUAGCCUUUUCCGAUUGUCACGGGAUUUUGAUGAAGUCUCAGAUAUCUAUAAUGAACUGAGUCAAUGUAAAUGCACAUGCAUUCACGUAUCGGGUGUUUUGUGCGAAGCAGAAUAACAGUAUGUAGUGUGUGCAGUAUGUGAGUGCUUUAGAGAAGUGAAGGACCCGCACCUGGCCGGGGAGAGCGAGCGAGAGAGGAGGGCAGCUUUAAAGCUUUUACCACUGUGCAAACAGUAGGCUGAUUGCUUUUAAUGGGAUCAACUAGAGGCCUCUGUGAGAUUCAGCCCUGCCCUGACCAACAGCGGGAUGUCGGGAUCCCUGGGACAGAACCUAAAGAUACAGAUGGAUGAUGUUAACCAGGAAGGUCUCCAGACAUCAACAUGAGCAGAGCAACAGAGGAAGUGUGACUGUGAAAAGCUGCGCCAGGCCCACUGAGUUUUGGCAGUUUUGAGACAGAGGCAUUCAACUCUUUCAUAGGCUGUUCUCCUACUCAACAGUGUUCUCCUACUCUUCUCUCAGUGCUACACGAAUGAAGGCCAUCAGCUGGAACGAGUCAUGAUGUACUAUAUGACCUAGUGAUGAGUCUUGUGUUUGAUGAGAGUAUGGCGAAACCAAAGAGAGAAGCGCUGAGCUAACAUAGAGAGUUUGGUUGAGGAUCAGUAUGCAGUUAUGACUUAAAGGAUCUAAAAACCACCAGAUCACUGAUCAUUGAUCUUCCUUUUACUCAUAUGUGACUAAGCGUAUUGCACCAUGCUUUGUUAACCAGGAAGUUUCAAAUCAAACAACAUAAUUUAAAGGGAUAGUUCAUCAAAAAGUGAAAAUUCUGUUAUCGUUUACUCACCCUCAUGUCGUGCCAAAGCAGACAUUCUUGCUUCUUUGGAAUACAGUAUUUUCAAAUGAAAGUCGCAUACAUAUUUACAAUGAAAAUCACAUUCUUGGAACCCAUUGUGUGGACUAAAACACGUGAAACUCCUCAAAAUAACUUUUUUGCAUUCCUGCAGAAGAAAGAAAGUCAUACAUGUUUGAAAUGACACGAGGGUGAGUAAAGAAUGACAAGAUUUUAAUUUCUGAGUCAACUAUCUCUUUAAAUUCUGAAGAGUGGACAGAAAAAGAGGCUGUUCUUCUCUGAAUGUUCUUCUCGAUAAUCUAUUGAUCGUUUGGUCCAUUUAAAUGUGACUCACCGCAUAUGCCAAGGCAGAGCUGGAACUAAUGCAAAUGACACAUUUUCGAGUUAUUUCUGACGUGCAAUGUGCAAAGCAUGCAAAUAAGGGUUCGUAAACUGCAUUUUAUUGAGCGACCCCUGGUUGGGGUAAGUGAUCUCUUGAGCAUUUAUUGUGAAAGUUGGAGAGGUUAAGAGGUGCUUGUGUCGUCCACUGUGGACAGAUAACACUCUUUCAGUCCCCACUCACAGGCCUGGCCCAAAGCCAACUGAUAACACAGUCACAUACCAUCUUUAUUAAUGAUUGGUCAAGUCCCGGGCCGGAGCACGAACCCCCCGGCAGGUAAAAUGAAGGAUCUUUCCGUAAUGACCACGUCUGAGCUCCACCCAACAAAAGCAAUCUGUUCUAACACUGCUAUGGCAACAUUCGUUCAGGAACUAAAGAAAGCAGGCAGAAAAAAAGCUUUAUAAGGAAGCUUACGUCACCAGACAUGGCAUGAAAGGUACUUUAACAUCUUGAUAACAUUAGUUAAUUAGUUAACAGGCAGCAAGACAACUAUAAAACACAAAUUAUGUGGAAAAUUGGGACUUUUUCAUGAGUCUAUCAGGUGACCAGUAACACUUUAUUUUAAGGACCAAUUCUCACUAUUAACUAGCAUGCUUAUUACUAGCAUGUUGGCUGUUUCUUAGUAAUUAUAAAGCACUUAUUAAUGGCUUAUUCUGCAUAUUCUAGAUCCCCUAAUCCAACCCCAUGCCUAAAUUUAACAACUAGCUUACUAACUAUUAAAGGUGGGGUAAGCGAUUCCUGGUAGCCAAUGUUGAUAUCUGAAAUCAUCCAAAACAAACAUGCCCCUGUCCCAAAAGGGUCUCGCCCCUAUUUUGAUAGCUCCGCCCCACACAUACGUAGCCUACGCAACCCAGGCAACGAUUAGUUCUGUGAAACAAAGCAAAACCAAUGUUACACCGUGACUACACCGGACGCAAGCGGCGCAACACAAUACUAUAGAAGUCAUUAUAAUCAGUGAUGCUGUCUACACCAUAGAUAUAUAUGCGUAGAUGCCUCAUUAGCGACUGUUAGCGACAGAAAACUGCUGCCGCAUUCUAUUUAUGACGUGCUGACACAAAUUUCAAAUGAUUUUCAACGGUCGCUUUAUCGCGUCCAGUGUAGUCAGACUUAGCUGUUGUGGCGCGUCCGGUGUAGACACGGUGUAAGGCGCCGAUCACACCGAACGUGUUUUGUAGUUCUGAAAACGCGAGGCGCACCUCACUGUCUUUUUGGUGACUUUUAAAAAAAGAGCAGUGCGCUGCGGUUUUUUUAUGUUGCUAGGCAACCACUAAAUCUGUCCUGUCAGUCUAAUCAGGAUUAUAGCACGAGCUCUCUAAAAUCUUUGGUUUUUGCUUUUAAGUAAACUGUCAUAAUAGCAAAAACCUUAAAAAAUACAGCUCCGGGUAACCCGCGACAGACACCAAAACGUUUCUCCUCCAUCGUUGCAGUCUCCGGACUUUCUAAGCAACCGUAAACUUUCGUCACCACAACGGAAGGCCCGCCUCUCCUUUCAUUCGAUUGGACAAUGGAAAAAAACGUGAUGACGUGGGGCGCUUUUCCGCUCAGAGUUGCUUUUUUUUCAACUUCAGACACUGCAGGUGGCGAAAAAACGCGAGGCGCCUGGGGCGCAGACACAGCGUGCAGAACGCUCACUGCCAACAGAAAACAAAAUGCGUUCGGUGUGAUCGGGGCCUUACUCACCUAUCGAGAAGAAACAAAGCAACCUCGGCGUCCGAUCGCAGGCCUUCAGUUCCUUGAGUUCUCUCCAGCGCUGGAAAGCUGAUCCGAUAUUUACACGGGUCCUACUUCUUGCCUUAUUGUUCUGGAGACGUUUUCCUCUUUUGUUUUUUAUCCGCCAUCUCUAUCUUUCUGUCGCUCGGCUGUCUGUCAUGUGCAGAACGCUCUCUCCUCCACAUCAUGAGUAGACACGCCCCUUACUGCUGAUUGGCUACAAGUUUGUUUUGGUGCUCGCCCCCGACUCAGUUUUCUAAAGUGUUUCUGAAAAAUUACAUACCCCACCUUUAACAAGCAGCAAAUUAGGAGUUUAUUGAGGCAAAAGUCACACUUAAUAGUUAGUUAAUAGUGAGAAAUGGACCUUAAAAUAAAGUAUAACCGAGUGACCUCUUUUUUGGACUUUGCCUAAAAUGUCUAGGAUUUGGCUUUGUGUUGGUAUUGACUUGCUCUCUACAUUCUUUAUACGCAUAAUUGCAUUGCUUGUAAGUCUUGCAUGCCACAAUAGUGUGCUACAGGGUUGAGUCGGUUGAUGUAUUUUUGUUGUCAAAAAUCUAGGAAUUAGCAUUUUAGCAUAUCUGAAUUCAUCGCCCUGAAGUCAAUGGGUUUUUUACAUGGGUUUUUGGUUAAAUGGUUAUAUUUUCCCGUUUUAUUCUAAGACAUAAAAUACAUCAGUAAACCACACUUGUGAGAUUUUAAUUAUAAUUUUUUUUUUACUUUUACUUGUCCUGAAAAAGGUGGUUCUUACAAGUGCCUAGAUGGGACUACAGAGGUUGUUGGGGAUGUGAAACGUCAUCAGGCCAAAAAGAUAAACUCAUCUACUCACUAGUUGCUUUCACAGCCUCAUUGCACUCUUGCAAACUAUUCUAACUCAAACUUUCAGGAAAAAUUUUUUAAAUAACCACAAAGAGUUUAAUGAUGGUAAUGUUGAAGUCAUGUGAUCGUGGUGUCUAUUCUGGUGUAGUUUAUUUAACUUUUUCCAUCUGCCGAUUGUAUUUAUUUAAAUUCAUAAUAGAUUUUUUUCAUUUGAGAAGAUUUUCCCGAUGAGCAAAGCACGUACGAAUCAUAAACUUUUGCUGGUCACAGAGCCAAUGGGAAAAUCCUAUUGGGUUUUUUGUUGAGGGAAUGUGAAAAGUAUUGCAGAGCUUCAGGUACAGUAGUGAAGGACUGAGUAAAACAGUGCCCAAACAAAAAUGUAAAUCCAGGAGAAAUUCCCAUGUAUUUAUCCCAGUUGGGAUCGCUUACAAAAGUGUCUGUGACAAAUAAUGGUGCAAACCAUAUAGUAGCACACAUUAUAGUCUAGCAAAGCACAUAACAUUAGCCACAGGGGUGAGUUUAUGAGUUAAAUUAACUAAAUGAAACACUUUACAAUAAGGUUUGUUAACAUCAGUUAAUGCAUUAGGUAAAGUGAACUAAUUAAGUGCCUUUUUUAUUUUUGAAAAGCACAGUAUGGUCAACCAAAUUUAGUCCAGUUUUGAAUUGCUGGAUUUUUGCAAUCAUAAACCAUAUCUAAAAUAAAACAACUAUUUUACAAGGUGCCAAUUUCAGAUCGAUUCGUAUGAUGUGAUUUGUGCGAAAAAGUAUACUGAAAAACAAAUUAAUAUAAGAUUUACAUAAAAUGACAUUAAAUUAAACAUGAAAUUUUGAAGUAGAAAGACUGAAAUAGUAUUUUCUUAUAAAACAUAUUCCAGUAAAAUUUGCUUUUUAUUCAGAACUUCAAAAAAAAAAAAAAAAUUUUUUUUGCAUGAAGCCCCACCCCUAAACAUGGGGCUCAGUGGAGCAAAUACUUACAAAAUAGUC